rnacentral:lncRNA from 1 species
GAAAUUGAAAAUUGAAAGAGAGAAGUUCAAUAAGACUUUUUCAAAUCUCAAUAAGCAGAUAAAGAAAGAGAAGAAACUUCUCAAUUCUGGGAAAACCAAAGGACUUAUUGAGGAGCAUGAGGCCUUCUUUUCUCAGCAAGGUAGCCUGGGUGAGCUUAACACUUGCUUGCAAGCUUUGAAAACAAUGAGUGAUAAAAUAACCAAAGUGGAAAAGGAGUCCAAAAUAAAGCUGCCAAUUGCAGAAUAUGAGCAAAAGGAAAAAGAACUUCAAAAAUGCGCAGCAACUAUUUACAAUCAGUUGGUAUCUAGGACUGGCGAUGACCAUUCACCUGAGAAAGGAGAGUUUACAUCUGCUUCAGUCAAUGAAGAGAAGGUAUCAUCUCAGAAUCCUGAAGCUGAAAAGGAUUCAGAAGAUGUUUCUUGUAUAAAAUUGGAAUCAGAAAAGGAAUUGCAAAAUGGCAGACACCACACAGAAAAGUUGGAAAGUGAUGGAGACUUGGCCUUAAAAAAAUUAAAAGAAAGGUAU